rnacentral:tRNA from 1 species
GCUGUUAUAGUUCAAAGGUAGAACGAUAAACUGUUAAUUUAUUUAUAGAGGUUCGAUUCCUCUUAACGGCU